rnacentral:rRNA from 1 species
UACGGGGGGGGUAAGCGUUGUUCGGAAUUACUGGGCGUAAAGGGCUCGUAGGCGGCCAACUAAGUCGGACGUGAAAUCCCUCAGCUUAACUCGGGAACUGCGUCCGAUACUGGCGGGCUUGAAUCCGGGAGAGGGAUGCGGAAUUCCAGGUGUAGCGGUGAAAUGCGUAGAUAUCUGGAGGAACACCGGUGGCGAAGGCGGCAUCCUGGACCGGCAUUGACGCUGAGGCGCGAAAGCUAGGGGAGCAAACGGG